rnacentral:rRNA from 1 species
CCUACGGGAGGCUGCAGUGGGGAAUAUUGGACAAUGGGCGAAAGCCUGAUCCAGCCAUGCCGCGUGUGUGAAGAAGGCCUUCGGGUUGUAAAGCACUUUCAGUGGGGAAGAAAGCCUUGGGGCUAAUACCCUCGAGGAAGGACAUCACCCACAGAAGAAGCACCGGCUAACUCCGUGCCAGCAGCCGCGGUAAUACGGAGGGUGCGAGCGUUAAUCGGAAUUACUGGGCGUAAAGCGCGCGUAGGCGGUCUGAUAAGCCGGUUGUGAAAGCCACGGGCUCAACCUGGGAACGGCAUCCGGAACUGUCAGGCUAGAGUGCAGGAGAGGAAGGUAGAAUUCCCGGUGUAGCGGUGAAAUGCGUAGAGAUCGGGAGGAAUACCAGUGGCGAAGGCGGCCUUCUGGACUGACACUGACGCUGAGGUGCGAAAGCGUGGGUAGCAAACAGGAUUAGAUACCCUGGUAGUC